AAUGGGCUCAUUCGGGGAGGCGUUUAUUUCCACUCUGCAUCAGAGCCUUCAUGUGGAAGGUGACAUCGAAACAGAAAAGGACAUCAGGAAGGCAGAAAGUCAUUUCAGGUGGCAAGGGAAUAACAUGAGUGAAGGCAGGGAAGAGGGAAAGUGGCUCAGCUGAGGCAGCUCAGAGGGAAAGUGGCUCAGCUGAGGCAGGUCAGAGAACGCAGAGACUAAGAGUAUAGCGUCUGGGGACCCACGGCCUGGGCGCAGAAACUUGGCUUUACCUCUUGUGAGCAAGUAAGUUCAUCUCUCUUGGUUUGUUUCUGCAUCUGUAAAAUGGAGCUCCGAAUGGUAGCCAUCUCACGGGGUCUUUGUGAGGAUUAAAUGAGGUGAUCUACGCAGACCCUUAGCGCAGUGUCUGGCUCACAGCAGGCCCCAGGGCAGGAUCUGGGGACAGGGUGAUACAGAGGGUGUGACCUGGGAAUGGUCUUAACUUGCAAACAACAGAGUCUCCAAGUAAUGGCUGAAUUUAGUGGCUGAAAUAGAAAAUAAUUUCCCUUUCAGUUAAGAAUCUGGAGGUAGGCAAUCCAGAGCUGUUAUGGUGGCUCCAUUCCACCAAGUCCUCAGGGCCCAGUUCCUUCUCGCUUCUGCUUCGUCAUCCCUGUGGUGUGGCCCUUGUCGUCAUAGUCCAGGAUGGCACCUCGGUCGUGACAUUCGUGUCCCAGUCGGCAGGAUGAGGCGUGCAUCCACUGUCUCUUUAGGUUCCCAGAAGCUGCCUCCGGACAUUUGCACCGGCAUCCUAUUCACUUGAAUUUGGUCACUUGGCCACACCUAGCUGCAGGGAAACAUAAUCUUUUUUUCUGGGUGGCCCUCUUUCCAGCUAAACUUUCUUUUAGUAACAGAAGAAGGGGGAAACAGACGUUGGAGGAAGCUAACAGUCUCUUACCAAGAGAGAUAAGACGGAAGCCAGAUUACAGAGGUCUUCAAGGCGGUCCACGGAAUUGGUACCUUGCUGCUCGGCUCUGUGGAGCAGUUGAUAGUCUCAGUGUAGGGAGUUCAUACGACUGGAGGCUGUUCGUGGUGAUGGGCUCUGCCGUGGUUCCUCAAACCAGCAAUACUCGCGUACUUUCAAGAGCAGCUACUUUCAAUUAAAACAAAAAUGCCCCCCUCCCAUCUUCCAACAUCCUUUGCCACUCUCCCUCCUCUUUACAGAAGGGAAGAGGCAGCUGAGGGGAGGCAGUGUGCGAAGGCAGCCCUUCCACCUGGCGGCUCUCCCUUGGACCUCCUCCAGUGGCCCCCUGGCCCUCUCGAAAUGUGCCGAGAAGAGAAAUCAUCCCCUCGGAGAGGUGGGCAGUGCCGAGUAGAGGGUGCUGGUUCUCUCCAUGUGCGAGCAAAAAUGGCUGUAGGCAACCACAGACUCAGUCCUCCUAACUUCUCAUCCUCAUUGGAAGAGACCGUCUUCCGUAUUUGCUCCAGCGGAAAAGCCCCAUCCGUGGACCAACUGAGGCUAGUGGAAUGGAUCACACUAGUUGGCCGGGCCUGGUUCAUUUGCCCCUCCAGCACCAUCUCUACCCAGAUUGCAUGAGUGGGUUACGCCAGAAAAGAAGGGUUCUGUAACCAAGAAAUAGAGGGUGGAGUGUUGCUGCACAGGUGAAAGCCAAGAUGUGCAUGCUGCCUCCCAUUUAGGAACAAGACUUGUUUUAAUUUU
rnacentral:lncRNA from 1 species